UGGGGAAUAUUGGACAAUGGGCGAAAGCCUGAUCCAGCCAUGCCGCGUGUGUGAAGAAGGUCUUCGGAUUGUAAAGCACUUUAAGUUGGGAGGAAGGGCAUUAACCUAAUACGUUAGUGUUUUGACGUUACCGACAGAAUAAGCACCGGCUAACUCUGUGCCAGCAGCCGCGGUAAUACAGAGGGUGCAAGCGUUGAUCGGAAUUACUGGGCGUAAAGCGCGCGUAGGUGGUUUGUUAAGUUGGAUGUGAAAUCCCCGGGCUCAACCUGGGAACUGCAUUCAAAACUGACUGACUAGAGUAUGGUAGAGGGUGGUGGAAUUUCCUGUGUAGCGGUGAAAUGCGUAGAUAUAGGAAGGAACACCAGUGGCGAAGGCGACCACCUGGACUAAUACUGACACUGAGGUGCGAAAGCGUGGGGAGCAAACA
rnacentral:rRNA from 1 species